rnacentral:rRNA from 1 species
GGCGACCGGCGCACGGGUGCGUAACGCGUAUGCAACUUGCCUUACAGAGGGGGAUAACCCGUUGAAAGACGGACUAAAACCGCAUACACUUGUAUUAUUGCAUGAUAUUACAAGGAAAUAUUUAUAGCUGUAAGAUAGGCAUGCGUCCCAUUAGCUGGUUGGUGAGGUAACGGCUCACCAAGGCGACGAUGGGUAGGGGAACUGAGAGGUUUAUCCCCCACACUGGUACUGAGACACGCACCAGACUCCUACGGGAGGCAGCAGUGAGGAAUAUUGGUCAAUGGGCGAGAGCCUGAACCAGCCAAGUCGCGUGAAGGAAGACAGUCCUAAGGAUUGUAAACUUCUUUUAUACGGGAAUAACGGGCGAUACGAGUAUUGCAUUGAAUGUACCGUAAGAAUAAGCAUCGGCUAACUCCGUGCCAGCAGCCGCGGUAAUACGGAGGAUGCGAGCGUUAUCCGGAUUUAUUGGGUUUAAAGGGUGCGUAGGUUGUUCGGUAAGUCAGCGGUGAAACCUGAGCGCUCAACGUUCAGCCUGCCGUUGAAACUGCCGGGCUUGAGUUCAGUGGCGGCAGGCGGAAUUCGUGGUGUAGCGGUGAAAUGCAUAGAUACCACGAGGAACUCCGAUUGCGAAGGCAGCUUGCCAUACUGCGACAGACACUGAAGCACGAAGGCGUGGGUAUCAAACAGGAUUAGAUACCCUGGUAGUCCACGCAGUAAACGAUGAUUACUAGGAGUUUGCGAUAUACCGUCAAGCUUCCACAGCGAAAGCGUUAAGUAAUCCACCUGGGGAGUACGCCGGCAACGGUGAAACUCAAAGGAAUUGACGGGGGCCCGCACAAGCGGAGGAACAUGUGGUUUAAUUCGAUGAUACGCGAGGAACCUUACCCGGGAUUGAAAUGUAGAUGACGGAUGGUGAAAACCGUCUUCCCUUCAGG